GAUACUAGUGAGAGGGCCACUCCACUCUCCAAAACGGUGCGGAUCACUUCAACAUUUGAUUCUUCUUCAGCAAUUUGAGUUCAUAAUGACAACAGCAGUUAGUCCGUUUUUUACGAUUUUUUUUCCGUCGGCUGUCUCACAAUCCGCUCCCAAUCCACGAUCUCCUAGUCCGCUCGCUGCUGUUGGCGGAUUUGCUGCCGUCGACGGAUUCGCUGCCGUCGGGGAUUAUUUUGGCCACCCUUUCCCUGUUUCCUCUCUGCGCCCUCUCCCCUGUCGUCGACGGCUUCGCGUCGGUUUCCCACCACCGUUCACUCAGAGCCUUCCCUGUUUCCUAUCCUGCCACCUCCCCUGCCUCCUAUAGUUGACGUCGUUCCCUCACGACGGCUGUCGAUUCUCGCCGUCAUUCCCCCACGCCCAUGUCCUCCACCCCUCCUGCUCUUGUGCUCCAACCCCAACCAAGACGUGCCCCGUGAGCGCAGGUCCUGGGCGGCGAUCACCUUGCCGUGAAGAGCCAUUGGAUUACAGUAGCACAUGUGCUGCAGGUCCUGGGCGGCGGUCACAUCGCCGUGGAGAGCCAUUGGGUUGCGACCUUGUGCUGUUGCAACCAGGUAGGUGUGGCUUUUGUUAGGCGAUGCCACUGCGCCAUGAGAGCAAGAAAACAGGAGACAAACAAGGAGAGCAAGCACACUUUACCUGGUUGGGGAUUCGGGUGGGUUGAUGAGGGUGCAAGCCUUCCUGAAGGGGGAGGUGAUGGUGCGAACCCAAGAACCCAUUGCUGAAAGCGCAAGGAGCAUUCAAAUACCUUGGCUAUGAUGGAAGAACUCCAUGAGAAACUCAGAAAUGCCAGAGAAAAGGGAGCAAUUUCUUAGGAAGAAGAUGGCUGCUGAGGUUGAGAAAGCUAAGGAGUUCACCAGAGCAAACAACAAGAGAGCUGCUAUACAAUGCUUGAAGACUUCAUGAGCAAGAAGUUGACACGCUUGGGAACUACCAAUUGCAGAUUCAUGAUCAG